CAGUCACCUUCCUCCUUUAGUGCGGGCUCUGGCCAAUGACGUUCGCUCUCUUAGGUCCUUAGCCCGCCCUCCAAAAGCGCGACAGGAGUUGGGUCAUAAGUCUAUAGGGCAGGGUGUUCACGUGGCCUACUUUCACGACCCAGAGUUCCCCAGACCAGAGGGGUUUUUUUUGUUUUUUUUUCCUGCAGGGAGGCAUUAUGGGUUUUUUUUUUCCACUGGGAAAGGAAGUGUCUACGUGGCCUGCGGAAACAGGAUGGGCGGAAAUGAGCUAAGGUUCCCGCGAGUGGGGAAGCGCUAGGUCAAAUCUGGGGCCACGCCCCCGAACCUGUUGCACAACUCUUGGAGGAAAAAAAAAUAAGGCUCCGGACGCGCAGGCUCAGCGGCCAUGGCUCACGGGCCCAGCCACUCCGCGGCAUGUGGGAUCCUCCCGGACCGGGGCACAAGCCCGUGUGCCCUGCAUCGGCAGGCAGACUCUCAACCACUGCGCCACCAGGGAAGCCCAGAGGCCUAAUUUUAAACCCCAUUCCACACUUACUAGUUCUGAGAACCUGGGAUUAAUGUUCUGUGAUCCUCAGUUUUUUUCAUGCUUUCUAUAUUUUAGAUGCUGUGUCAUAUCAUUCACAUGGAUAUUCUUUUAUUCUUCACAAAAUCCUUAUUAGAUGCAUACUAAUAAAUGAACAUCAAACAACAAGUUAUACCUCUUUCAGUUAUAGAUCUUACACAUGUGUGCAUGCAUGCAUGUGUGUGCUCAUGAACACACACAUACAAGCACACACCCGGAAAGGGCAGGAUUUAGAGCAGAAGUCCUCAAAGUGUUUCCCAGACACACCAAUAGCAUCAUUAUCACCUUUUGGGAAGUUGUCAGAAAUUUAGAUUCUCACCUCCAACCUAAUUAAUCAGAAAUUCUAGGAGUAAGUAGCGUUUGGCUAUCUGUUAUAACAAACUGUUAUGGUGAUCCCAAUGCACACUGAAGUUAAAAGCACUGCUUUGGAGGGCAGAAAUACAAUGCUUAUUUUUGUACACUCCACUAGAGGGUACUACAGAAUGUAAAGCAAAAUAAUAAAUGCUGUAUAUGUUU